CCAGACAGGGGGACUUUGAGUUGAUUAUUCAUGCAGAGUAAGCAGUCUAGCUUUGCAGCAGCACCAGUACCAACGCUGGAUGUUUGGAUUAACGCCAGCAGGCUACAGAAUUAGCUCAUUGUUCCAUACACUCCAACUACGGGCACUGGGGUAGACAGUAAACCAGCUUUUUUGGGAGCUUCUCAAGCGCUGACUGUACUUCAUUUUUUGGAGUGCAGUAAUCAUUGCCUUUACGGCAAAAAAAUGCUCCCUAUUUGGGGAGCUACAUUGCAGAUCUCUAUGUAGGGUAGAAGGUGGAGCGGGGCAGAGGGCUUUGUCUUUUGUUCCCCUUUAGGAACUGGGGAGACCUGCCUGCAGUCCCGCCUCUGCCAACAAAACAUGCAGAUAGGGUGCUCCCCUGAUAACAUCCAGGCCUGGAGUAAAUUUUAGAAUUACAUCAGUGAAGUUUGCUGCAGAAAACUGGCUGCUGUAGCAAUAUUCUGGAAUGAAUCCUUAUGGAACAGCCUGGCGCAGCUUUGACCCGGUGUUUCCCGUGUUACCUCAAGACUGCUGAAGACCAGUGCCAAGGAUGGAAGCCUUCCUUCAAUUGAUUGUACUUCAAAAUUCUUCACAGUAAAGAAAGUAGUUAGGAUGUGCAGUUGCUGCUUUCAGGGGAUGCUUCAUGUCACCCAUCAGGAAAACAUACUGGCUUCAAGAAGGGGAACAAUAAGAGCAAAGUCUUGGGCCUGGCUCCCUCAAUGGAGCCAGAUUCAUAUUUUGCCAAAAGACAAUGGAGUCACUGUAUAUUCAAUCAUUAUUCUUCCAUGUGUGUUGACCUGGUGCCUGAGUGUUGCUGAGGUGGCACAGUUUCAGAGUUUGUUUUUUUUUUAAUUUUAGAUAAAACAAAUUGAGGGGACUCUGAACCUGGCUGAUUUGUACCAAGGACAAUAUUACCACAAAACAACAAAUAUCAGUCUUACUAAACUGGAAACACUAAUAAACACACACUGUGAACAACAAUGUUUACGACCAAUACAGGUGGGCCUUCAGGCCUUUUCGUACCAUGCACCACAUUGUCUUCCAUUACUCCAUUGGAAGUGUGCAACCAAAGCAUGUCCUCUCUUACACAUGAUGUUUUCAUUAGACUACAAAGGCUGAGAGUCCCUUGCAUUUUCUUUUAAUUUUAAUGUAAUCAGCUUGUUAGUUCAUAAUGUAUGUCUAAAAUCUUCAAUUGCCUAUGUAACCUCAUAUUUUAGCCAUGUAAAUUUUAUGUAUAGAAAUACUGUAAUAGUAUGUAAUGCAUUGUUUCCUUGUGGUAAGUGAUUGAGGUGCUGCCACGGGAUAUGAGACACUGAUGAAUGGUGCUAUUUUGGAUUUUAAAUAUGCUCCUUGGCAAGGUAGCUCUGAUGGAUUUUUGUUUUUAUUUUCCCUGUUCUGAGAGGGUAUUGAUGCUUUUCUGAUUGCUUUCAUUUUUUGGACUGGAUUGACUUGUUUCUGGAUGUGUGGUGGCUUUCAUAAUGAUUUGCUAGGCUAGGAGCAGUACCUGUUGACUAAAAAGUUGACUUGCAGCAAACUAGGUGCAUGAAAGUGCCUGAGAGCAAAAGGGACAAUUGCAGCAUUGCAACCUUACCUUUUUAAAUUACUUUCUCCCUUUAGGUACUUCUUUCAUAGUUUAAGAAAUAUUUUUAAAAUGCAUCUUUAAAUACUCAGCAGCAGGCUGAGACAUUGGUUUAUUAUUUUGAAUUAUACCCUUAAAGAAUAAAACAUACGAAAUAUUACUAUAAGGCAAUCUUAAAAUCAUUUCUCAAGUUAAAUAAUUUCUGAACUCAGUACAAGUAGUGGUGGUUAAGGAAAUACGUUGGUUGUAUCCACAGAUUUGUAUUCUGUGUAAUAUUACAGUGUCCUGAGGAAGAAGUACUUGCCAAUGGAAGACCUUUCUUCGAAAGCAAAUGGAUGGUGGCAGAAUGCUUUUCCUUAAGUAGGAGAUGCAGAACCCAAAAGUCUUCUCCGUCAAGGAGUCAGUUCCAUUUUAUUCCACAAUUCAAUGAAUUAGAGCGAACAUUUUUCAGAUUUAUUAGUUUUAAGAUCCAAGCAGAUGAACUCUCACUAGUCAGCAGAACAAAAUUCCCAGCACCAGCCUCCUUUUCAUUUUAAAUAGGCCCAGCUUUCUUCUUUUUUAGGUAGGCAAUUAUGGUUUUAAAUAACAAGCUCUCACCUUCACAGUUUCAGUAACAAUUAUACCCACAUUUGUCAACCUAAAGAGAAUACUUACGAGCUGAACAGUCAGUGCAAUUGCCCAGAUAGCCCUUUGUUGAAACAAAGGUGUUGUGGUGUCUAUUUUAUCCCAGAUUUGUUUGUUUUCCAAAGAAACUAUCCUUCCUUUUGCUGGAGAACAAAUGGUCUAAAUACUCAUUGCAAACGGGAAGAGUGGGGAGAAAAGGAUGUUUGCUAUUUUGUGUUUGCUCCCUUUUCAACAAAACCAUAUAGUACCACCAAGUAUGAGGUGCUGCAGUGUUUGAUAUGGUCUGAAAGCCCACCUUAAGAAAUAUUUUUAAUGUCUUUGUAGCUCUUCCUUCCAUGCAGGCCUUCCUGCUUGUCUAAACUAUUCCAGUUUCUGACUGUUAAAUGCUGAUGCAUGUAUCCAUUAUUUACUGUGUUUAAAUUUGUUUGAUUAGAAUUUAGUUGUGCAACUUGGCAUAGUAGUAUUUUAGUGGCACUUUGCAGAUGUAUAAGCAAGCUUUAUGAUAAAGUAUGUGUUUUACUGAAAAUGUGAUCUUCAACUGCUUUACUGUUAUACCCCCAUAUACCCAGUGUAACACUAUUCUGUGCUUAUUUUAGUGGGAGUUCUUCAAUAAAUAUUCAAAGCAAUUCAA